rnacentral:rRNA from 1 species
AUUGAACGCUGGCGGCAUGCUUUACACAUGCAAGUCGAACGGUAACAGGCCGCAAGGUGCUGACGAGUGGCGAACGGGUGAGUAAUGCAUCGGAACGUGCCCAGUCGUGGGGGAUAACGCAGCGAAAGCUGUGCUAAUACCGCAUACGAUCUAUGGAUGAAAGCGGGGGACCGUAAGGCCUCGCGCGAUUGGAGCGGCCGAUGUCAGAUUAGGUAGUUGGUGGGGUAAAGGCCCACCAAGCCAACGAUCUGUAGCUGGUCUGAGAGGACGACCAGCCACACUGGGACUGGGACACGGCCCAGACUCCUACGGGAGGCAGCAGUGGGGAAUUUUGGACAAUGGGCGCAAGCCUGAUCCAGCAAUGCCGCGUGCAGGAAGAAGGCCUUCGGGUUGUAAACUGCUUUUGUACGGAACGAAACGGUCUGGGUUAAUACCUCGGGCUAAUGACGGUACCGUAAGAAUAAGCACCAGCUAACUACGUGCCAGCCGCCGCCGUAACAC